GGAGGCGUCCACGGUGAUGAUGGUGUAGGUGUACAGAGGCUCUCCUCCCUUUGGCGGCUCCCAGCAGUCGAAAAUCCCAGCCAUGGUGAGCAGACGCCAGCCCCGCCACUCCUCAUCGCUGUCCUCCUCCUCCUCAGCCGGGUGUUUCUUGUUCUGGGGGAAGUAGAUGAAGUAGGGCUGCUUGCCCCCGCCGCGCUGCUGCCACUCAUAGAAGCCAUCUGCCAGCACCACGCAGCGCUUGCCCUUGAGGAGAGGGCCCUUGUAGGAGGACUUGCUCAACAUGGUGUCGCUGCGGCAGUUGGAGGUCUUAAACUGCAUUUUGGAGGGGUCGUCCUCUUUGAACCAGGAGGGCACCAGGCCCCAGCGCAUGUCCAUGAGCACCCGCUCGGAAGAGUCAGCAUCCUGCUGGACGUGCUUGCGGGACAGCAGCACGGGGCCGGAGGACUGCGGGCCCUUGUUGUAGGAGGGCCGGUAGCGCCCCUCCCGCAGCCACUCGGGCUGCUGCCGCCGGCCCUGCCGGUCGCGAUAGGCGCAGGCCCGCCGCAGCCGGGCGGCCCCGAGCGAGCAGGCCGUGCGACCGCACAUCGCCUCCCGCCGCCGCGACGCGCCCGGACCGCCCCGCUCCGCUCCGCUCCGCCCCGCCGGGAUGGGCGGAGCGAAAUGGACGCCCGGGAGCAACGCCCGCCCGCUUCGACAGAGGGAGGAGGAGCAACGAGAGGCUUUAUUGUCAGCUCGGAGCGAUGGGAGGGUGCCGGGCUGGGGGCUGGGGAAACAACAGGGCUCGCAACCGCCCCCCCCCGGGGCAAAGCGUUUCGUAAAAUCGGAGCUUAAAAACACCGUUAUUUUACAGACAGAACCCCAAAUCCAGGUCCCCAUUGUACUGAAGAAACCGCUGCAGCGAACGUGAUCCCUUAUCCCGGUGGUGGCAGAGAGGAGGAAGCACCGCCCGACGGGGAGGCAGCGCUCAGCCCACGGAGGCCAUGAUCACAUCCACCGGGAGCUCCUCCGCGCUGCGGGCCGUGACCUGCAUCGUCACCGUGUCGGUCAGCAGCAGGCGAGCCCGCAGCAGCACGUCGUGGCCGCCCCGGAACACACCUGCCAGGUACAGAGUGUGGGAGUUCUUGUUGUCUGGCACUUUAUCCGAUCGCUCGCAGGGCUGCAUCCCCAGGAACUUCACGAUAUUGCUAACCGCCUCUUCAAGGGUUUUAAUUGCAGAUAAAGUAAAGGUUUCUUCCUUCUCGUACUCAUCACCCACUUCAUCCCAGGCAGCUCCAAAGUUGGGCUUCAGAACUCGCUGGAUGUGAUCAGCCACUGUUACCUCAAGAUCUUCAAGCACAUAUUCAUCCUCGUAACCCUCGUCGUCUGUCUCACCCGUGUUUGGAUCACAGUCCUUGACAGUAAAUUUCAUCAUGCAGCUGAACGUGCAGGCCACUGCUGUUGGAUCCUCUUCAGACAGUGCCACCAGAGUGUAGCAGGUGCCUGGCUGGUUGUACACCAGGCUUUUGGCAGGUAUGUAACCAAUGACCUCAUACCCCUCUGUUGGCUCCAUCUGCACAGUGACAUUCUCCAGGAUCUGAUCAUUCAGGGUGUUGGUACAGUCAAACUAAGCAGGGAAGGAGAGAACAAAGACAGCUUGAAGCUCUCAGUUAUAGAUGUAAUAGCAGAUUCACUUCACGCAUAGUGGGAGCAUGGUGUUAACUUGUGAAGUGUCUCUGUCUCAGCAGGGAGUCUGGCUCUGACAGGGUU
rnacentral:lncRNA from 1 species